rnacentral:lncRNA from 1 species
AUUAAUCUCCAAUUUGCUGCUUAAUUAGGAUACCCUAGAAGCCACCAAAACAGGUCACAUUCAGCUUUUUGUCCAAUGUGGCUGCCCUUUAUUGCUUUCUCAUUUGGCUGAGGUGUGCCAACGUAUCUUUCCCUCUACUCUCUCUACCAUCUUUCAUCUUGUGGGGUCUCCCUGUCUCUCACUGCUAUAGACAUGUACUUACAAGAAGUUGGAAAAGGAAAACACAUCAACCGCACCAAGUGCAAAAGCCCAAGUGUUCCAUUCCAUCCACCUUAACUUUCGAUCCUGGCAAUUAACCGCUGUCUCUGGUUAGACUACGUACCCUUAAUAUUUGUUUUCUUCUUUCUUUUCUCUCUUGUUUGUUUGUGCUAUGGAUAUAUACUAUUCUUUUUGCUUCUUUCUAUGGACAUCGAUCAGAAACAACACUUUUUCUUUUAAGAGAAUCGGGUUUCCUAUGUGUUUGUCUACAAUAUUGACAAUUUCACACACUGACACUGGGCUAUUCUGUAUGAAGACAUUACCAAAAAAUAUACGAUAUUUAUCUGGCACUUUUUAGGAAACUAAUUUUCCAUUUUUUUAAUUCGGCUGUCAGAACAUAGUGAUAUAAAUAACUGCAUGCAAUGCAUCGUUACAAACUAAAAUAGCUGUAGUGCUAAACUAAUAAUACUAAUAAUUAGUCCUCAUUGAGUAUUAUAUUACGUUUAAUAAUCUAUGUGCAUAUAUAAUCAUUUACCAUUAUGUAAGUAGUUAAUACGAGAGUGUAGUGUUAAUAAUUCCUACCCUACCAUGACAUGUUUUGGCAUAAAGUAAGAAAUUUUUAAAUGGUAGUAAUAGAUAGUUUUGUGUUUUAUCUUUGCAACAGCAUUGAUCUGGACUUUGUCCACCAAAAAAAAUUUAAGAAAAAGAAAAAGUUUCUGCUCGCCACUUUAUAUAUGCUGUAAUGCAUUGUGAAUAAUCUAGUUAAUUUGCACCAUAAAUAAGAAUAACCACUCUAUAUUUUGUAGUUAGGGAAAGCUAAAAGCCUAUUGCAAUAUUUUAAUCGCAUGAUGGUUAGGUUUUAUAAGACAAAAGGCAAAUGGGUCCUACGAUGCAAAAACUAAAACAUAUAUAAUUCCACUUAACUAUGUAGUUGAUCAUGGGAUCAGUACGAACGUACACAGGCCCCCCGCGGCUAAAUGAUCAGUCUCACCUCAAUGGAAGUUUCUUUAUUUAUUUGUCCUCUUCGUUAGGUACCUAAUCCCAUGAGAUAUAUGUUUAGAUAAUAAGUUAUUUAAAGCUAGUUGGGGAGACAGGGUCAAUUUACUAUGUAAAGGGAUGGAGGGAGCCGGGGAGAAUUGAUUAUUGAAGUGCUCUCACUUUGGAAACUUUCUUUUCUAGCUAGAUAAUUGAAUAAAAAAUACAUGAUGCCAAUCAUAAUUUCAAUACCGAUUCCCUGUACAAUUACAGAGUUAAUGUUGUGUUCAAUUUUAGAACCAGAAGAGUUUGAUAUAAAGGUGACACAUUUCAAAGGAGUAAGAGUAAAAAAUGGAGAAUUCAUAAUGUAAACCUUAUCCUUAAUUAAAAGGGUAUCAUAUAUAAAAGCAUAGUUAAAUUACUGAUUAGAUACAUAUAUUAUUUCUGAAUUUUUAAACAGGUACAUAAAUUAGUUUUUUAGAUUUAAAUAUUCUUUUAGUUCCUAUGGUUGCAACUACUUUUUAUUUUGGUCACUAUAGUUUAAAAUAUACUAAUCUUAUUCCUAUAGUUGUUUUUUUUUUGUUCAAUUUGGUUUGUUAUGAAAUCCCGCUAAUGUCGUUUGUGUGAUGAAUGAGGCGUCUCUUUUUACACUUGUGGUGCAUAUAUAUUUGGUGAGUUAGAAGUUCUUGAAAUUCUUCUUCAUCCUAGACUCUUAAAAUUGGUCAACUUCAUUCGCAGAAAAAGAAGCAUUGGAAAACCUUCUUGAUGAUCCUAGUUUUCAAUAAAACAUUGCGCGUUUGAAGUAUUGUACAUCUUGGUAUUUAUCUGCAUAAUGUGUGUACUAAAUGAUGCAUUUAUAUGUUAUCGGCUGCAUAACGUAUACUAUGAACUGCAUAAAGUUUUUUAUCUACUGAUUGCAUAAUAUAUACGGAGUACUGUAUAAUGCAUAAUGCAUACUGAGUUUCACACCUUUUAUGUUUUCACUAAUCCUUAUAAAAUUAAUUCACUAAUUUUAUAGGAUUAAAAACAUAUAAUACUCCUUUAGAUUAUUAUUAUAAACUUUAAUUAAUUAAUUAAUUAAUUAAUGUAACUAAGUGAGAAGAGAUGCAUCGAUGGCAAAGUAAUAGCUGGCUCAUACAGUAGUACUACAAUUAGUCCAAAUUCAGGAAGCUUAAGAAGUCACAAUUAAUCGUUCGGUAAAAUGAUGAGUGGAGUAAUAUGUUAAACUCGGUUCCCAAGCGUAGUUACCCACCUUUGGCGUCCCCGUUUGUCAAAGAUUCGCGUGCGACGCAUGGAUUAGGCACCAUGAAUGUGACACGACAAAAUAUGUCUCAACUUUAGCUCAUAAUUGACUCACAAAAACAAAAGGUGAUAUGAGGAUUUUUUAUGUCUUUGAUUAUAUGAUUAAUUCACUAAUCCUGUUGAUUAUCAUGCUCCCCUUUUUUGAAAUAAAUAGUAAAACUGUUGUUUGACAUGAAAAUUUAUGUAUACCUCAGUGGUCAUCAUAUAGCCUAAACCUACCAUCUGAUUCGAUUGGCAGAAAGUUCAUUGGAGCAGCAUAGAAGGAAAUGAUUUGAAGUAUGUGUUUUCCUACCAGUCAAUUAUAUCUGUAUGCUAGAAAUUAAAGGAGCUUGUUUAUAUACAUACGAAUAAAUCUCUGUAUAACGUGUUUUGUUAUGAUAAGUAUAUCAAUG